AACGAACGCUGGCGGCAUGCCUAACACAUGCAAGUCGAACGAGACCUUCGGGUCUAGUGGCGCACGGGUGCGUAACGCGUGGGAAUCUGCCCUUAGGUUCGGAAUAACUUCGGGAAACUGAAGCUAAUACCGGAUGAUGACGUAAGUCCAAAGAUUUAUCGCCUAAGGAUGAGCCCGCGUUGGAUUAGCUAGUUGGUGAGGUAAAGGCUCACCAAGGCGACGAUCCAUAGCUGGUCUGAGAGGAUGAUCAGCCACACUGGGACUGAGACACGGCCCAGACUCCUACGGGAGGCAGCAGUGGGAAUAUUGGACAAUGGGCGAAAGCCUGAUCCAGCAAUGCCGCGUGAGUGAUGAAGGCCUUAGGGUUGUAAAGCUCUUUUACCCGGGAUGAUAAUGACAGUACCGGGAGAAUAAGCCCCGGCUAACUCCGUGCCAGCAGCCGCGGUAAU
rnacentral:rRNA from 1 species